AGAUCAACUCCCAGGCGGGCUCCGUGCUGGGGUUCAUCCUGUGCAGUAACAGGUGUGAGCAUUCAUGCAGCGUUUUGAUGGUCAUGUAUGAUACUGCAUACAACA
rnacentral:snoRNA from 1 species